rnacentral:lncRNA from 1 species
UCCCCAUAAACAGGCUACAUUUCUCCUAAUGCCUGCUUCAUCUCUCUUUAUUUUAUUCCACCUGCCUGACCAGUGACCCACACAGCUGAGUUGGCAUCACCGCAGAGCAGGUGCACAUCUUAUUGUUUUCUUUUCUUGUUUGUUUGUUGGUUUUAUUUCACACCUUGUGCUUCUUUACUCAUCAAUCGUGAAAAUCCACACACACACCACACUCAAACAAACGAAGCAGGAACACACACAAACACACACACACACACACACUUUCUGUCACGCUUAUCAACUUUUCAGUCUUCGGUUUGGUUGUGGCCUUACUAAUGAGCUUUGUCUUUCAACUGUUUUGUGUGUGUGUGUGUGUGUGUGUGUGUGUGUGUGUGUGUGUGUGUGUGUGUGUGUGUGUGUGUGAGCAUGUGUGUACAAACAAACUGACUGUCAGCCCUUGUCUUUCAGGUCCAGGCUAAGUUGGCAUCCACGGUUUCCAAGCUGCAUGGAGAGGAGGGCCUGAGGCUGCAGGGGUCGAAGGAGUUUGAGCAGGUAAUGAGGCGCUGCUGCCGCCAGGACUCCAUUACCCAUAGUUCCCUGCAGGAGUCCAUUACCCAUAGUUCCCUGCAGGACUCCAUUACCCAUAGUUCCCUGCAGGACCCCAUUACCCAUAGUUCCCUGCAGGAGCCCAUUACAUUUACAUUUACAUUUAGUCAUUUAGCAGACGCUUUUGUCCAAAGCGACGUACAAGGGAGAGAACAGUCAAGCUAAGAGCAAUAAAAAGCAUGGUGUAACAAUAAAUACUACUUUACAUGAGAAUUAGAAAACAACGACAUAGAAAAAAGGAAAAAGAAGUGCAGGAAUGUAACAGUUAGGUAACAUUAACCAUAGUUCCCUCCAGGAGCCCAUUACCCAUAGUUCCCUCCUCUGUGUCAUGACAAGUAGCUGCCUAUUAUCUGUAAUAGCGAUGUCUUUGUCUCUCCUGUCAUGCGUGUUUGAGGGGCGAUGUCUCUGUCUCUCCUGUCAUGCGUGUUUGAAUGGCGAUGUCUCUCCUGUCAUGCGUGUUUGAGGGGCGAUGUCUCUGUCUCUCUCCUGUCAUGCGUGUUUGAAUGGCGAUGUCUCUCCUGUCAUGCGUGUUUGAGGGGCGAUGUCUCUGUCUCUCUCCUGUCAUGCGUGUUUGAAUGUCUCUGUCUCUCUCCCGUCAUGCGUGUGUUGGACCGCCAGAGGACGCUGAUGGAGCUGCAGGACCAGCUAGACCCCCACCUAGACCAGACCACACGGAGGACGCUGAUGGAGCUGCAGGACCAGCUAGACCCCCACCUAGACCAGACCACACGGAGGACGUGUCCGAGCGGAAGGAGCGUCUGGAAAAGGAGGAGAAGCUGUCGAAGGACCUGGGUAAGGCUGCCACUAAACUUCAGUCAGGAGCUACUCGCCAAAGAGAAGGACACAGUCAACGUCCUCAGGGACCAACUUAUAGGAAAGGUAACAGACAAAUAUGACCUAAGGCCAUAUUAUAACGGUGUUAAUUAUCGGACGGCGUGUGUUAUCGGC